CCUUAUGGUGGGCUGGGAUAGGGGAGCUUCGGCUCGCCGUUUCCUUGUAAGCGGUACUGUGAACCCUGUUUCAGCCCAUCACCCUA
rnacentral:antisense_RNA from 1 species